rnacentral:rRNA from 1 species
AUGUGGAGAUGCAGGGAGAGAUGUGGGGGCAAAAAAGGUAUAAAACCUGACCACAUCCCUCCCCUAGGGUAUACUGAUCCCUUCUUCCUCCACCUUUUCGAGAGAGGGGAGGCGGCGGAAACACCAGAAGCCAGGGAGGGGGAGAUGGCUGGAAGAAAUGGAAAUUGGCAGAUGGGGAGUGGGAGAGGAGGCUAUGGAGGACGAGGUAAUUUCUCAGCUGGUAGGAAUACUUCUCCCCCUGGUAGAAAUUCUGGUAGAUUUGAGGACAGGAACCAGAAUUUUGGAAACAAAAGGGAGGGGGUUCAGAUUUGGUGA